rnacentral:rRNA from 1 species
AUUGAACGCUGGCGGCAUGCCUUACACAUGCAAGUCGAACGGCAGCACGGGGCAACCUGGUGGCGAGUGGCGAACGGGUGAGUAAUGCAUCGGAACGUACCUUUCAGUGGGGGAUAACGUAGCGAAAGUUACGCUAAUACCGCAUAUUCUGUGAGCAGGAAAGCAGGGGAUCGCAAGACCUUGCGCUGAUUGAGCGGCCGAUGGCAGAUUAGCUAGUUGGUGAGGUAAAGGCUCACCAAGGGGGCGAUCUGUAGCGGGUCUGAGGGGAUGAUCCGGCACACUGGAACUGGAGAAACGGCCAAACCCCCACGGGGGGCAGCAGUGGGGAAAUUUGGACAAUGGGGGCAACCCUGAUCCAGCCAUGCCGGGUUGGUGAAGAAGGCCUUCGGGUUUGAAAGCUCUUUCGGCCGGGAAGAAAUCGCACGGGCUAAUACCCUGUGUGGAUGACGGUACCGGAAUAAGAAGCACCGGCUAACUACGUGCCAGCCGCCGCCGUAAUAC